rnacentral:rRNA from 1 species
UACGUAGGCAGCGAGCGUUGUUCGGAGUUACUGGGCGUAAAGGGUGUGUAGGCGGUUUUCUAAGUUUGGUGUGAAAUCGUCCCGCCUCAACCGGGAGGGUGCGCCGAAAACUGGGAGACUAGAGUGCGGGAUGGGAGAGUAGAAUUCCUGGUGUAGCGGUGAAAUGCGUAGAUAUCAGGAGGAAUACCGGUGGUGUAGACGGCUCUCUGGACCGCCACUGACGCUGAGACACGAAAGCGUGGGUAGCAAACAGG